rnacentral:rRNA from 1 species
UACGAAGGGGGCUAGCGUUGCUCGGAAUCACCGGGCGUAAAGCGCACGUAGGCGGGUUCUUAAGUCAGGGGUGGAAUCCUGGAGCUCAACUCCAGAACUGCCUUUGAUACUGGGAAUCUCGAGUCCGGGAGAGGUGAGUGGAACUGCGAGUGUAGAGGUGAAAUUCGUAGAUAUUCGCAAGAACACCAGUGGCGAAGGCGGCUCACUGGCCCGGUACUGACGCUGAGGUGCGAAAGCGUGGGGAGCAAACAGG